rnacentral:lncRNA from 1 species
AGAAAAGUCAAGACUAACGUUGAGAUAGGAAAAAGUAGAAAAUAACCUUUGGAUUAACAGAAAAUACACAUUCUACUUGUAUUUCCCUCUCCAGUUAAGAGAGCUAGAUAUUCCUAUCAAAGGCACUUAAAUUCUGGUCAUAGUAUAUGUAAACAAAGUCAAGAUAUAACAUUUUGUAACAGUCGUAACACACAUCACUUCUCAAACAUUUGGAAACAUGGAUCCAGUUCUGAAUGGACUUUAGUUUGUCUUUUAUGAAAAAAAUGUUCUUACUGAUGAAUGCUUUACAGCAGGUUGUUUUUCUAAGCCUUCAGAACAGAAAUCUGCCUUGAAAAUUCUGCAAAGAUCAAUCUUCCAAACCAGGUCAUAAUCUUAUGGAAAUAAUCAGGUUUGUACUUACUCAUCUCUUACACUGACAAUUCAACAAUUCAAAUUGUU